CCUACGGGCGGCAGCAGUGGGGAAUAUUGCACAAUGGGGGAAACCCUGAUGCAGCGACGCCGCGUGAGUGAAGAAGUAUUUCGGUACGUAAAGCUCUAUCAGCAGGGAAGAAAAUGACGGUACCUGACUAAGAAGCCCCGGCUAACUACGUGCCAGCAGCCGCGGUAAUACGUAGGGGGCAAGCGUUAUCCGGAUUCACUGGGUGUAAAGGGAGCGUAAACGGCAGCGCAAGUCUGGAGUGAAAUCCCAUGGCUUAACCAUGGAACUGCUUUGGAAACUGUGCAGCUAGAGUGCAGGAGAGGUAAGCGGAAUUCCUAGUGUAGCGGUGAAAUGCGUAGAUAUUAGGAGGAACACCAGUGGCGAAGGCGGCUUACUGGACCGUAACUGACGUUGAGGCUCGAAAGCGUGGGGAGCAAACAGGAUUAGAUACCCGGGUAGUC
rnacentral:rRNA from 1 species